rnacentral:sRNA from 1 species
UGUUAUACACUACUGACGCGGCCGACAACCUACGACUAAUAUUCGUCUGUAGCCGCAGCGACAGAACGUAGCAACAGGCAACGGCCCGAAGGGCGAGGAGAGCUAGCGACGAGUUAUCCUUCCCCACCCACCA